UGUGUGGACAUUGAACAUAACGGAAGGAUGUUUAAAGGCAGAUAGCUCCAUCUAUUGAAAUGCAGAUGUCGCCCACUAUAAUAGCAAACGUCAUAUGUAAGCCAAGCAGAAAGUCAGGUACAUUGAGCAAGUGAGUUAAAUUUGUAUGGUCGUUUAUUUGUUUAAUAAUUGGUGAGUUUGUCGUAAAAAUGCCAAAAGAAGAAGACGAAAGACUUGUGAAGGAAUUAGAAGAAUUGAAAGAGAGAAUUGGCGAUGAGUCAAUUUCAGAAUUAGUUCGAGCUUUAGAUUCAAUGAUUUCAAAUACGCCAGAUAGUUCUGAUUUGACCGAGGAACAUUCAACUAAUUUAAAUUUGGCUUCAUCACAGCCUUCUACAUCGAAUCAAGCACCAAACUCAGAAGACAAUGCGAUAAGAUUGCGUACUGAAUGCAAAGUAUGUCAUACUGUAUACAAUAAUCGGAACAAUUUGUACAGACACCAAGGUAAAUACGAAGAUCAAUUCAAAUGUUGCAUUUGUCGAAAGGAGUUUGGUGAUGAACUAAACGAACACACCCAGCGAUUUGGAGAAAAUUUCAUCUGUUGCAUAUGCAAAAAGAAUCGAGAAAGUAAAAAUAAAGCGAAAUUCAGUGACCAUUGUAGUCAAUGCCGUAACCGUCGUUCGUUACAAUGAACGGCAAAAUAAAAUAUUUUCUUCGAAAAUAAUCCAAUUUUACAACAGCGAAUAUAAAUCAAAUCUCAUCAUUGAAUCCAUCAUUGGCAUCCAUCUUCGAUUUGUUGAGAUUUUCAGCACUGUUCAGCAUAGUCGCAUUCCACAACACAAAUUGUAAAAAAAUCUAUUAUUUGUACAAAUUUAAUGUGUAAGGUUAUGAAUAACGAAAAGCACUGCAUCAUCAAUUCGGAAAUUUAUAAUUAGAUUAUUAAAUAACAUCGAAUGACUAUUUUUAUUUAUUUCAACAAAAUAUUAUUUGCGCCCAUUUUGCUAUGCUGACACUUUUGUUUUUAAUGCAGUAAUUCCGAUUAUUUUUCCGUGCAAUCGCUUAAUUUCAUUUUUUAUUAUUGCUAAAUUGCGUUGUACGCAGUGCCGUCACAUAGAAGUGUUCAAAUGGUUGAAAUAAAAAAAAAUCAAAACAAAGCAUAUGCCGAGAUAAA